AGAGUUUGAUUCUGGCUCAGAACGAACGCUGGCAGCGUGGAUUAGGCAUGCAAGUCGAACGUGAAGCCGUUGAACAAUCUUUCGGGAGAGUGAUUCGGUGGAGAGUGGCGGAAGGGUGAGUAACGCGUGGGUGAGCUGUCUCGAAGUAGGGGACAACCAGAUGAAAAUCUGGCUAAUACCGAAUGUGGUCUUCUGGCGCAUGCCAGGAUGACUAAAGGUGGGGAUUCUUCGGAACCUGCCGCUUUGAGAGGUGCCCGCGUGCCAUCAGCUUGUUGGUAGGGUAAUGGCCUACCAAGGCUUACGGCUAGCCGGCCUGAGAGGGUGAUCGGCCACACUGGGACUGAGACACUGCCCAGACUCCUACGGGAGGCUGCAGUCGAGGAUCAUUCGCAAUGCGCGAAAGCGUGACGAUGCGACGCUGCGUGGGGGAUGAAGGCCUUCGGGUCGUAAACUCCUGUCAUGAGGGAACAGUAUCCCUGUAAUUAAUAGUUGCGGGGCUCGAUGGUACCUCAAGAGGAAGCCACGGCUAACUCUGUGCCAGCAGCCGCGGUAAUACAGAGGUGGCGAGCGUUGUUCGGAUUUACUGGGCGUAAAGGGUGCGUAGGUGGUUUUGUGUGUCGGAUGUGAAAUCCCAUGGCUCAACUGUGGAAUUGCAUUCGAAACUGCGGAACUAGAGUGCAGGAUGGGAGAGCGGAAUUCUUGGUGUAGCGGCGAAAUGCGUUGAUAUCAAGAAGAACACCGGUGGCGAAGGCGGCUCUCUGGAAUGCUACUGACACUGAGGCACGAAAGCUGGGGGAGCGAACAGGAUUAGAUACCCUGGUAGUCCCAGCCGUAAACGGUGCACACUUGGUGUGGGGAGAUUUAACCCUCUCCGUGCCGGAGUUAACGCGUUAAGUGUGCCGCCUGGGGAGUACGGCCGCAAGGCUAAAACUCAAAGAAAUUGACGGGGGCCCGCACAAGCGGAGGAGCAUGUGGCUUAAUUCGAUGCAACGCGAAGAACCUUACCAGGGCUUGACAUGGGGACCCUUCGGGGGUGGUAGCGAAAGUUACCUUUACCAUCACAGGUGCUGCAUGGCUGUCGUCAGUUCGUGCCGUGAGGUGUUGGGUUAAGUCCCGUAACGAACGCAACCCUUGUGGCUAGUUGCCACCGGUGGUGAUGAGCCGCCGAGCACUCUAGCCAGACUGCCCGUACAAGCGGGAGGAAGGUGGGGAUGACGUCAAGUCAGUAUGGCCCUUACGUCCUGGGCUGCACACGUGCUACAAUGGUCGGUACAGUGGGAUGCAAUACCGCGAGGUGGAGCAAAUCCCCAAAGCCGCCCUCAGUUCGGAUUGAAGUCUGCAACUCGACUUCAUGAAGUUGGAUUCGCUAGUAACGGCGCAUCAGCUACGGCGCCGUGAAUACGUUCCCGGGCCUUGUACACACCGCCCGUCACAUCAUGAAAGCCGUCUGCACCCGAAGUCGCUGAGCCAACCAUUUAUGGAGGCAGGUGCCGAAGGUGUGGGUGGUGAUUGGGAUGAAGUCGUAACAAGGUA
rnacentral:rRNA from 1 species